rnacentral:lncRNA from 1 species
GAGGUCAGGAGUUUGAGACCAGCCUGACCAACAUAGUGAAACAUUAUCUCUACGAAAAAUACAAAAAUUAGCCGUGCGUGGUGACCGGCGCCUGUAAUCCCAGCUACUCAGGAGGCUGAGGCAGGAGAAUCACUUGAACCCGGGAAGCGGAAGUUGGAGUGAGCCAAGAUCACGCCACUGCACUCCAGCCUGGGCAAGAGAGCAAGACUCCGUCUCAGAACAAACAAACACUAUUUUCAAAAGAGAAAAAGAAAGGAUAAGGAUACAUUUCUGAAUCCUAAGGUCUCACCACGGGAAGCCUGUAUCUUUACAAUUCAACAAUCAGCAUGGCCCCCAGAGAUGACGGGGUUCAUCCAUUCAGAUGAGAAAAUGAAGAAAGUGGCAGGAUUUUGUAGGAAUAGGAAGCUCCUUCGGGCUCAUGCCCAGCCACAGGCUGCCACAGCACGGAAAGGAAAAGUGAAACCAGCUCCAUCAAGUCAUUUUUCACUCUAGGAUUGUCAAAAGCUUUACAUUCAUCUCUUGGGAUCCGAGGAGAGAUAUCUGCCGAGAGAGAAUUUGGAUCGGAGCCAGCAAAGCAAACUCCAGAAGCCUUGGCUGCUGCGAAAGGGGAUUCAACACCUUUCCGGGUCGUUCUCACUUCAUUUCCAGCCGGUCCCCCUUUGGUGCUGUUUCCCAAGUAAUCAGACCUCAGGGGUUGCCUCCUGGUGGGGAAAGGGAAGCUUGCCUUGCUGGAGAAGGGGCUCAAGGCACAGGACUUGCCUCGGACUUGCCAAGGAGGCUUGCAGGAGGCUCUUUGUCUACUCCUCUGUCCUCAUCCAAGUAAGAGGAGCGGGGAAUUCCGAGGCUGUAACUGCCUGGGAAACGCCAGCCACGGAGCUGCUGAGGAUCAGACUCCUGGGUUUCAGCAUGGAGGCCAGGGAAGGGUCUGAUAAUGGCAAAUGGUUGUUCCAGAAAAAAUGCAGCAACACCUGAACUCUUCUAAAGAAAAAGAAGACAAAAUGAUCUAGUGCAUCUCUGCCAUCCUGUUGAAGAUCCUAUUUGAAAAAAGGGAGACACAGAGAAAGGUUUUUUUUUUUUUUUAAAAGUGAUAGAAUAAUCCAAAGUUAAAAAUUCAACACAAUGGAAAAUAUUAAUUCAAUCCAUGCUGCAAACAAGCUUCUUGGGUUGCUUUAUGAAUUGUAUGAGCUGAAGGACAGUACCUUCCAUAUGGUCAUAUCCUCACAACGCCUCUGGACAUAUUUUCCUAUCUGACCGUCUUUCCCACCUGGCCUCAAACUCCUGGGCUCAAGUGAUUCUCCCACCUCGGCCUCCCCAGUAGCUAGGACCACAGAUGCAUGCCACCAUGUCUGGCUAAUUUUUAAAAAUAUUUUGUGCAGACAGGGUCUCACUAUGUUGCCUUGGCUGGUCUCAACAAACUGGGGCUCAUCAGUAAAUUGGGGCACUCUUUUCAGGGCUGAUAACCUAUUCCCCUGGAUUCCCAAAACACUUUCUUAGUUCUUUCAAAGAGGUGAGCAAGUUUGCCUUGAGGCUAGAAGAAUGGAGAGAAGACUGGGCAUGGUGGCUCCUGCCUGUAGUCCCAGCACUUUGGGAGGCCAAGGCAGGUGAAUGGCUUGAGUUCAGGAAUUUGAGACCAGCCUAGGCAACAUGGUGAAACCUCAUCUCUAGAAAAACUGAGCCAGGCAUGGUGGCACACACCUGUAGUCCCAGCUACUCAGGAGGCUGAGGUGGGAGGAUCACCUGAGCCUGGGAAGUUGAGGCUGCAGUGAGCUGUGAUUGUGCCACAGCACUCCAGCCUGGGCAACAGAGGGAGAUCCUGUCUCAAUAAUAAUAAUAAUAAUUAAUAAUGUCUAGGACUUAGAUGGGCAAAGAGGUGAGGUGAAUAUUAAGUAUUUUGGAGCAGAAAGUAACAACUGUUUAUGUCGGAACAUCAGAAAAAGAAGACCAUGGGUCAGACACAAAUGCUCCCCCGCCUGCCCCCUGCAGUCUGUUCUCAGCACAGCCCCCUCUGUGGACUGUUGAAAUGCGGCUUCUCUGCUCAGUGCCCUCCGAUGGCACCACCUCACUUAGAAAAAAAGUCCUUGCAGUGACCUCAAGGCCCUACCUAAUCUGCCCACCACCCACCCUUCUGACCAUAUCUUUUUUUUUUUUGAGACAGAAUUUCGCUCUUGUUGACCAGGCUGGAGUGCAAUGACACGAUCUCGGCUCACCACAACCUCCACCUCCCAGGUUCAAGUGAUUCUCCUGCCUCAGCCUCCCGAGUAGCCGGGAUUACAGGCAUGCACCACCAAGCCCGGCUAAUUUUUUUUGUAUUUUUAGUAGAGACAGGGUUUCUCCAUGUUGGUCAGCCUAGUCUCGAACUCCCGACCUCAAGUGAUCCGGCCUCCCAAAGUGCCGGGAUUACAGGCGUGAGCCACUACGCCUGGCCCUGACCAUAUCUUUUAUGACCUUCUCCCUCACUCAGCUUCAGCCACACUGGCCUCCUUGCCAUUCUUCAAACACACGAGAUGCACUCCUGCCCCAAGCGCUUUGCUGUCCUCCUGCCUCCAAUCCUCUGCCUCCUCCCCAAUAUCCACAGCUCAGUCCCACACUUCUUUCAAGGUUUUCCUCAGAAGUCACCUUCUUGGUGGCUCAUGCCUGUAAGCACUUUGGGAGGCCAAGGCUGGUGGAUCACUUGAGCCCAGGAGUUUGAGACCAGCCUGACCAACAUGGUGAAACACCCCCUCUACUAAAAAUACAAAAAUAGCCAGGUGUGGUGGUGCAUGCCUGUAAUCCCAGCUACUCGGGAGGCUGAGGCAUGAUAAUUGCUUGCACCUGGGAGCAGAGGUUGCGGUGACAACUUUGUGCCAUGGCAUUCUAGCCUGGAUGACAGAGUGAGACUAUGCCUCAAAAAAAAAAAAAAGUCACCUUCUCAAUGAGGCCUUCCCUUAACAUCUCUACUUAAAAUUGCAAACCCCAACACUCCUUAUCCCUUUCCUUGCUUUAUUUUUCUCCAAAGCAUGUAUCUCUAUCUGAUAAACUACAUACUUUAUUUGUGUAGAUACUGUUUGUCUCCCUUAAAAACUCCGUGAGAUCAGUAAUAUUGUCUCUUUGAUCACUCCCAUAUCUCCGGUACUUAAACAGAGCCUGACAUACAGCAGGUGCUCAAUAUAAGUUGAAGAAAUGAAUUCAGGAAGGAAUGAAAAACCAUUAGCAGUAGGCUAAGGAACUUAGACUUUGUCCUGCUAGUAACCGAAAAUCAUUAAAGGAUUUUUCUCCCCCUCUUAUAGUCGAUAUCAGCUAGGAAAACGGAAUGAGUUUCCUUUCAGCAUGGCAGACAAGAAAAAGUAUAGAACACUGAGUCAGAUGCUCAUAUAUUUAAAUUCUAGUUUUGCCACUUAGAAGCUAAGUGACCUUUGAUAAGUUUUGUAAUCUCUCUGAAACUCCAUUGCUUCUCCUGAAAUACCUAUGACAGUAAUUCAUAGGGUUAUUGGGGGAAUUAAAUGAAACAUGUAGAAGUGUCUCAAACAGUACCUGGAAAAAAUGUUUUAAUAAAUGUUUGUUUCCCUCCCUUCUUUCUAACAAACUGAGAAAUUCCCUAUGCAUUAUGAUAUCAGUCAGAUUCCCAGAGGAAACAGAUGGCACACCCAAAUUAGGCUAAUUCGAGGUGAGUUAAAUAAAGAGACUCUAAAAGGUGUGGAGAAACCACAGAGGAUGGUGUAGUACCUAGACCCGGUGACAACUCUGUUGGGGCAUAGAGACAGGGGCGUAGGGACAGGGAGGGAGGAGUUUCCAGAACCCAGAAGGAGAGAAAAAUUUCAAAGGCAUAUUUAAAAUUCUAAAAGUGAUGAGAAGCCUAACUAUUUUAAAACAUGCUUUAUAUCUAGAAAAAGCAUAUGUCCCGGGUUUAAAAAAAAAACUGAAUUAAAAAAAAAAGCAGAUACUUGAACCAAAACCCCACACAACUCAAUGGCAAAAUAGAAGAUUUUUUUUUUCUUUUUCAGAUUCAGGGUCUCCCUCUGUCACCCAUGUUGAAGUGCAGUGACACAAUCAUAGCUCACUACGGCCUCGAAUUCCUGGGCUCAAGCAAUCCUCCCACUUCAGCCUCCCAAGUAGCUGGACUACAGGCACACACCACCACACCUGGCUAAUUUUUUUAAAAAUUGUUUUGUAGAGACAGGGAUCUCAAACAAAAAAAAGAGAGAGAGAGAGACAGGGGUCUCACUAUGUUGCCCAGGCUGGUCUCAAACUCCUGGCCUCAGCCUCCCAACGUGCUGGGAUUACAGGUGUGAGCCACUGUGCCCGGCCUAAAAGAUGUUAUUUUGAGAAACACAGAACACUUUUGAAAAGACAGAGCACUUGCUUAAGUAAAAAGAACAAGAGAGCAAAAAAUUUGGCAGCUCAACAACAAUCCAUUUAGCAGAUAAAAAUAUAAAUUGAUGAGCUGCUUGAUAGGCAGUUCCAAGAGCAAGAAUAAAAGUUUCUUUAAAUACAUCAAUGGCAGGAAGGCAUCUAGAGAAUCGAUGUGACUGCUUGAUUAAACAGAGUACAAAAGGUAAAUAAAUGAUGACUAUAUAGGAAAGAAAGUUACCAUGCCAGACUUGAAAUUCUGUUAAAGUUCCUUGAUUUGAACUUUGAAGCAGCAAAGCCUUCAGCAUUUCAGAGCCAAACUUAGGAUUUUUUUUUUUUUUUUUUUUUUUUUUUGAGACAGGGUCUCACUCUGUUACCCAGGCUGGAGUGCAGUGGCACGAUCACAGCUCACUGCAGCCUUGACUUCCCAGGUUCAAGCGAUCCUCCUACCUCAGCCUUACGAGUAGCUGGGACUGUGGCCACCACACUCGGCUGGAAUUUUUCAAACUAUUAUUUUUUAAAUGUGUUGUGGUCUAUUUAAAGGUGUUCUAGGCUGAGCGCGGUGGCUCACGCCUGUAAUCCUAGCACUUUGGGAGGCCGAGGCAGGCAGAUUGCUUGAGCCCAGGAGUUUGAGACCAGGCUGGGCAACAUGGUGAAAUCCUGUCUCUACAAAAAAAUACAAAAAAAUUACCCAGGUGUGGUGGUGGGCAACUGUGGUCCCAGCUACUCUGGAGGCCUACGUGGGAGGAUUCCUUGAACCUGGGAAGUUGAGGCUGCAGUGAGAUAGUGCCACUGUACUCCAAAUUGGGCAACAGAGUGGGACCCUGUCUCAAAAAACAAACAAACAAAAGAAGGUAUUCUAAAGUACAAGUUUACAGGUUUAUAGUACAGAACAAAUGUCUAGGUCAAAACCAGCUUUAUAAAGUUCUGCAAGAAAAGCUGGAGCAGGCAUAAGGAUAGCUAUACAGAUCAGCGGAACAGAAUUGAGAGUACAGAAAGAAACCCUCAUAUUUACAGCCCACUGGUUUUCAACAAGGGUGCCAAUGAUGGCAAUGGCUGCUGUCCUCAUGCUGGCUGCAGCAGGAAGGUGCAGCUGGGGCCACAUGCUCCAUGGAGCCAGUAGGAGCCCAGCCCCUUCUGAGUUGGGGCAGGAGCUCCCUGGGUGCCACUGUGGCCACCCUCCCAGUUGCAGGACCCAGGCAUCUCUGCAGCUUGCACCCUCAGGGGCCCCAGGAAGCACCCUACCCCUACCCCUGAAGGCUCAGGGGUGUCUGCUGCCACUGCCUGGCCUCUCUCUGCUCCCAGAGCCUGCUCCAAUCUCUGAGCAGGGGUUGGGGCUGAGUCCCGCAUGGCGCCGGAGGCAGAUUGAUUCCUGGGUGGAAGGGGGUGGGUCCCCAGUGAGACCCCACCUUCAGGCCAGGGAAGGCCUAAAGGCUGGGGGCUAGGCUGCCAGUCCUGUGGACCAGAGUGAGGACUGGUGGUGCCUCUUCCAGGCCCACCCAUGGCCACCCAUCGACCAAUCAGCAUGCACUGCCUCCCCUCUGAGGUCCAUAUAAGCCUUGGGCUCAGCCAGAGCAGGGCAGAUGAUGUCCUCAGGACAAAGAGGGUAGAGAGACAAUGGAAUGAUCAGCUGCAGAGAGGAGCUACCCUCCCUGCUGAUAGCUGGAGAUGAGGAAACAACAAGUUGCAGAGAGGAACUGCCCUCUCUGCUAAGAGCUGCAGAGAUGACCUGCUGGCAGAGAGGAGCCACCCUUCCCAGGGCCGCCUCUCCACUGACAGCUGCAGACAUUGGGACGACUAGUUGCAAAGAGGAGCUACUCUCUCCAGGGCCUCCUCUCUGCUGAGAACUGAACACUCAAUGGAUAACCUGCCUACAGAGAGGAGCUACCCACUGCGGAUCUCCUCUGAGCUGUUGUAACACUCAAUAAAGCUCAUCUUUGUCUUGUUUACCCUUCACUUGUCUGCAUACCUCAUUCUUCCUGGAUGCAUUCUUACUGGGUGCAGGAAAAGA